rnacentral:misc_RNA from 1 species
UGAUUAAUGCUAAUGAUGUCUAAAAAUUAUGGAUUUACUGUCUUGAUUUGAUGUAUUUAUACUUUCCAUAUUGACCGCCUCAAUUUAUUGUUGCUGUUUUGAAUCCAUCUUUGUUUAAUUGUCAGUUUGUGAGCCUCCAUCUUCAGUUUUAACUACACAACCACUUAUAAGUUUGUUGAGGGAACACGUAACUUAAAGUUUAUUAACACACAAGCCACAACAUUUCCAUGGCUUCUUUUCCAGGUUGGAAACUUUGAGCUCUCAA